AUGGGAUGAAAAAAAAGUAGUCCCAACCAAGAAUCAAUCCCAAAAGGUCGGAGCGAGGCGAAAUUGGCUUUCAAACUAGGUUCUGGGUUCACAGAAGACCUGAAUCAGGAACAAGGGCUAUUAGCUCAGGUGGUUAGAGCGCACCCCUGAUAAGGGUGAGGUCCCUGGUUCGAGUCCAGGAUGGCCCACCUGCACAGGUGGUAAAAACAAGAGAAGCGAGGAAUCAGCACCUUAUCUUACUUACAUAGUAAGAGAGAAUGCUGGCUCUGAGUAAAGAGUCCAGAGGAACCUUGAAAACUGCAUAGAGCUAGGUGAAAAA
rnacentral:tRNA from 1 species